GGCGUGGCUUCCGGAGCUAACGCGUUAAAUCGACCGCCUGGGGAGUACGGCCGCAAGGUUAAAACUCAAAUGAAUUGACGGGGGCCCGCACAAGCGGUGGAGCAUGUGGUUUAAUUCGAUGCAACGCGAAGAACCUUACCUGGUCUUGACAUCCACAGAACUUAGCAGAGAUGCUUUGGUGCCUUCGGGAACUGUGAGACAGGUGCUGCAUGGCUGUCGUCAGCUCGUGUUGUGAAAUGUUGGGUUAAGUCCCGCAACGAGCGCAACCCUUAUCCUUUGUUGCCAGCGGUCCGGCCGGGAACUCAAAGGAGACUGCCAGUGAUAAACUGGAGGAAGGU
rnacentral:rRNA from 2 species